UACUAUGUUCUCUUUACAAAAAAAGAUGAAAUAAAAAUUAAACUUCUGAUUUAUCCAGCAGGAUGGAACUGGCAAUUCUGUGGCUGAGGGGGACGGAGGUCGGCAGCCAGUGUUGGAGCAGAAGCCACAUCCUUGAGUUGCAGCAGCGCAGUCUGAUGCCGUGGUUGUGCCAGGGCUGCUGGGAGAAAAGCUGGGCUGGCUGAGAGCUGCAGUCCUCUCAAGCUGGUGGAAGAGCUACAGAGACCCUAUUUGAAGUAGAAAGAACUGGAUUUUGCCAUCAUUUACACCUCAAGGAGCUGCCACAGGAGGAGGGGCCAGUGUUUGCCAGCUUGCUCUGCUCCCUGCAGCCCUCACUGGGGAGCCGCGCCACAGGAAAUGCUGAGCAGGAAUCAGACACGAGAGCAUCGUGCUGGGUUGGUUUUGCUCUUGGAAACAGAAGGUGGAGCAAGCCACAGCUGAGACAAGUGUCAGGGUCUGCAGUGAAAGCAGGAUCCAUGCCAAGCAGGAUGGAGGACUCUAAGGGGUCACAGCAGAGAGCUGCAUCCAUGGGAGCAUCCUGGAGCAACUGGCCACAUGGUGCUGACAUCCGAGAAGAUUUUUAACGUGAUUUUUCACCAUGCUGUUCACUGCUGACACCACCUUUCUCACUGCAGGUGCAUCUACUGCUUGUGCGACAUUUUAUGCUGUCUCAUUUGGAUUGUAUCUCAAGGAGGAUUUAGAGGAGCUGGCAAGCUGGAGAUCUGAUGGCUUCCCAAAGCUCACAGGCAGCACUCUUCCCCUGCAUGUGACAUGUGCAUUGCUCUCAAAUUCAGAGGAUGGCUCACAGCUGCUGUGACUGAAACCAGGAUGUAUGUGGGGCUGAGAGUUGCCCAUGGGAGCCAGGAGGUGAGUGUCUUUUGUUUGGAUGUCCCUGCUGACGGAUGCUCCAUCCAUGGCC
rnacentral:lncRNA from 1 species